UAGUCCACGCCGUAAACGAUGAGUACUAGCUAUUGGGGGUAUUGACUCCCUCAGUGGCGCAGCUAACGCAUUAAGUACUCCGCCUGGGAAGUACGGUCGCAAGACUAAAACUCAAAGGAAUUGACGGGGGCCCGCACAAGCGGUGGAUUAUGUGGUUUAAUUCGAAGCAACGCGCAGAGCCUUACCUACCCUUAACAUUUCACGCUCGCCUCAGAGAUGAGGUUUUUCUCUUCGGAGACGUGAGGAUAGGUGCUGCAUGGCUGUCGUCAGCUCGUGUCGUAAGAUGUCUGGUUAAGUCCAAUAACGAGCGCAACCCUUAUCCUUAGUUACCAGCAUUGAGUUGGGGACUCUAGGGAGACUGCCGGUGUUAAACCGGAGGAAGGCGGGGAUGACGUCAAGUCCUCAUGGCCCUUACGGGUAGGGCUACACACGUACUACAAUGGCAGAUACAAACCGUUUGCAAAGCCGCGAGGUUGAGCUAAUCGGUAAAACACUGUCCCAGUCCGGAUUGGAGUCUGCAACUCGACU
rnacentral:rRNA from 1 species